GAUGAGCGCUGGCGGCGUGCCUAAUACAUGCAAGUCGAGCGAACAGACGAGGAGCUUGCUCCUCUGACGUUAGCGGCGGACGGGUGAGUAACACGUGGAUAACCUACCUAUAAGACUGGGAUAACUUCGGGAAACCGGAGCUAAUACCGGAUAAUAUAUUGAACCGCAUGGUUCAAUAGUGAAAGACGGUUUUGCUGUCACUUAUAGAUGGAUCCGCGCCGCAUUAGCUAGUUGGUAAGGUAACGGCUUACCAAGGCGACGAUGCGUAGCCGACCUGAGAGGGUGGUCGGCCACACUGGAACUGGGACACGGUCCAGACUCCUACGGGAGGCAGCAGUAGGGAAUCUUCCGCAAUGGGCGAAAGCCUGACGGAGCAACGCCGCGUGAGUGAUGAAGGUCUUCGGAUCGUAAAACUCUGUUAUUAGGGAAGAACAAAUGUGUAAGUAACUAUGCACGUCUUGACGGUACCUAAUCAGAAAGCCACGGCUAACUACGUG
rnacentral:rRNA from 1 species